ACGAGAAGCGAUUUGUCGGAUUAGGAACGCGUUUUCAUUGGCCAGCUGCCCCAGGUUUCUCCACACACAACCCCCUCCUCUGCUCCUUUCUCUUCCUCGGCACCGCCGGAUCUGCGGCAGCUCCUGCCCAUGGUCCCCUGCCGCGCCGAGGGAGCACGGCGCCGCUGAGAUGCAGGGCGAUGCACUGCCGCCUACCGCGCCCUUGGCCUUCUCACAUCCCCUGCCCCUCCCUCCUCUUCGGCGACGGCGAGCUGUACGAGUCGGGGGCCUCCCCGCUCGUCUUCCUGAUCCAGGGCGGCGGCAUGAACCUCUCCCGCGUCGGCGAGAAUCUCCUCAGCUCCGUCUGCUGCGCGCGCUCCCUCGCCCUCCUCCCUCCGACCCCAGCCCCUUCCUGUGUCGAGGUUCCAGCUCGAGCUAUUGUUGCAGCGACGGCUGGAUUUGAUGUCACUGAAGUUCUAAAGAUUACAUGAUGGCUUGCUUAAUUUUCUUCAUUAAGAGCAGAGAAGGAGAGGGAAGAGAAAGACAAAGAUAUUUAGCUUUCCUUUCAGUUAUCAUUGCAUUACUUUUCUUUAGGGUUUUCGAUCAUUGGUUCUAAGAAAUUAGCCCCAAGAAAGGGUGCCUUCUGAUGUCUAUAAAUCUAAGCUUUAUCUGUUCUUGGGAUCUGAUGGAAGCUUGUGAUUUAGGAUUAAUUAGAUUAUCUGCACAAAAGUGGCUCCUUUCUUGGUUUGUUCUUGUCCCUAUAAGCUGAGCUUCUGUCCAUCCGUCCGUAAUAGAAGAAGCUUAUUUCCUUCCUAGGCUUGUAGUAUCAUCUCAUGCUCCCUUGUGCUGUGAAUUCGUAAUGGAAUGUAUACAAAUUGGAGGCAGCCUCCCUGCUUACAGUACUA